ACACUCCUACGGGAGGCAGCAGUGGGGAAUAUUGCACAAUGGGCGCAAGCCUGAUGCAGCCAUGCCGCGUGUAUGAAGAAGGCCUUCAGGUUGUAAAGUACUUUCAGCGGGGAGGAAGGCAAUACGGUUAAUAACCGUGUUGAUUGACGUUACCCGCAGAAGAAGCACCGGCUAACUCCGUGCCAGCAGCCGCGGUAAUACGGAGGGUGCAAGCGUUAAUCGGAAUUACUGGGCGUAAAGCGCACGCAGGCGGUCUGUCAAGUCGGAUGUGAAAUCCCCGGGCUCAACCUGGGAACUGCAUUCGAAACUGGCAGGCUUGAGUCUUGUAGAGGGGGGUAGAAUUCCAGGUGUAGCGGUGAAAUGCGUAGAGAUCUGGAGGAAUACCGGUGGCGAAGGCGGCCCCCUGGACAAAGACUGACGCUCAGGUGCGAAAGCGUGGGGAGCAAACAGGAUUAGAAACCCUGGUAGUCCCAUG
rnacentral:rRNA from 1 species